UACGAAGGGUCCAAGCGUUAUCCGGAUUUAUUGGGUUUAAAGGGUGCGUAGGCGGCUUAUUAAGUCAGUGGUGAAAGCCUGCAGCUUAACUGCAGAACUGCCAUUGAUACUAUAGAUCUUGAAUAUUCUGGAGGUUAGCGGAAUAUGUCAUGUAGCGGUGAAAUGCUUAGAUAUGACAUAGAACACCAAUUGCGAAGGCAGCUAGCUACAGGGUUAUUGACACUGAGGCACGAAAGCGUGGGGAUCAAACAGG
rnacentral:rRNA from 1 species